AGUGAACGCUGGCGGUAGGCCUAACACAUGCAAGUCGAACGGCAGCACAGUAAGAGCUUGCUCUUACGGGUGGCGAGUGGCGGACGGGUGAGGAAUACAUCGGAAUCUACUUUUUCGUGGGGGAUAACGUAGGGAAACUUACGCUAAUACCGCAUACGACCUACGGGUGAAAGCAGGGGAUCUUCGGACCUUGCGCGAUUGAAUGAGCCGAUGUCGGAUUAGCUAGUUGGCGGGGUAAAGGCCCACCAAGGCGACGAUCCGUAGCUGGUCUGAGAGGAUGAUCAGCCAAACUGGAACUGAGACACGGUCCAGACUCCUACGGGAGGCAGCAGUGGGGAAUAUUGGACAAUGGGCGCAAGCCUGAUCCAGCCAUACCGCGUGGGGGAAGAAGGCCUUCGGGUUGUAAAGCCCUUUUGUUGGGAAAGAAAAGCAGCAGGUUAAUACCCCGCUGUUCUGACGGUACCCAAAGAAUAAGCACCGGCUAACUUCGUGC
rnacentral:rRNA from 1 species